UACGAAGGGGGCUAGCGUUGCUCGGAAUCACUGGGCGUAAAGCGCACGUAGGCGGCUUCUUAAGUCAGGGGUGAAAUCCUGGAGCUCAACUCCAGAACUGCCUUUGAUACUGAGGAGCUUGAGUCCGGGGAGAGGUGAGUGGAACUGCGAGUGUAGAGGUGAAAUUCGUAGAUAUUCGCAAGAACACCAGUGGCGAAGGCGGCUCACUGGCCCGGUACUGACGCUGAGGUGCGAAAGCGUGGGGAGCAAACAGGG
rnacentral:rRNA from 1 species